AGGCAAGAUGUUGGCAUAGCUGAUUAUAUUCAAUGACGUCAGCUCUGCCACACGAUGCCACC
rnacentral:pre_miRNA from 1 species